GAUGUUCAGUACUCCGCCACCAGACCCCACACAGGAGGAUACACAGUAUCGUGAGGAUGGGUCCGUGAUUCCUCCGCGCAACGUUGUGCCACCUCAUAGGUAUGGCUGGACCACGCCACAGGCACCCCCGGAAAGUCGUCCCAGACGCCAUGCCUGAUAUUUGCAUAUAUCUUCAUCGGACGAUGAUGUACUCUUCCCCUUGGACGAUGAUGUGCUCUUUCGCUCCGACGGUGCAGUACUUUUCUCCUUGGACGAUGAAGAACUCUUACCCGUUUUGCUUGGCAUGAAGAUAUCUUCAUCGGAUUCCUCCUCUUCAACCCAUAACAAUGGAUGUUUUCUAGCCCAUUAAGUCCUCAAUGGGAAAUUGCACCUAUAUAAUUGGUGGCCCAACUCAGUUAGUAGAGUGCCACUACUAAUGAGUUCGUCCCAUGGAACUAUCCUAUUGUCUACCUUGAAAUCACCGGCUAACCACAAUAGCUCACGGGACAUACCUGACCAAAAUCUACGAUCAUCUGGGAAGCCGGACGACAUCUUCCCAGACGAAAUAGUGAGACUACACUUCAAUACCAUGGACGGUCUUUUAUAGCUACAGA